rnacentral:rRNA from 1 species
AUUGAACGCUGGCGGCAGGCCUAACACAUGCAAGUCGAGCGGAUGAAGGGAGCUUGCUCCUGGAUUCAGCGGCGGACGGGUGAGUAAUGCCUAGGAAUCUGCCUGGUAGUGGGGGAUAACGUCCGGAAACGGGCGCUAAUACCGCAUACGUCCUGAGGGAGAAAGUGGGGGAUCUUCGGACCUCACGCUAUCAGAUGAGCCUAGGUCGGAUUAGCUAGUUGGUGGGGUAAAGGCCUACCAAGGCGACGAUCCGUAACUGGUCUGAGAGGAUGAUCAGUCACACUGGGACUGAGACACGGUCCAGACUCCUACGGGAGGCAGCAGUGGGGGAUAUUGGACAAUGGGCGAAAGCCUGAUCCAGCCAUGCCGCGUGUGUGAAGAAGGUCUUCGGAUUGUAAAGCACUUUAAGUUGGGAGGAAGGGCAGUAAGUUAAUACCUUGCUGUUUUGACGUUACCAACAGAAUAAGCACCGGCUAACUUCGUG